rnacentral:rRNA from 1 species
AGAACGAACGCUGGCGGCAGGCUUAACACAUGCAAGUCGAACGCCCCGCAAGGGGAGUGGCAGACGGGUGAGUAACGCGUGGGAAUCUACCUGGUUCUACGGAAUAACACAGGGAAACUUGUGCUAAUACCGUAUACGCCCUAUGGGGGAAAGAUUUAUCGGUGCCAGAUGAGCCCGCGUAAGAUUAGCUAGUUGGUGGGGUAACGGCCUACCAAGGCGACGAUCUUUAGCUGGUCUGAGAGGAUGAUCAGCCACACUGGGACUGAGACACGGCCCAGACUCCUACGGGAGGCAGCAGUGGGGAAUAUUGGACAAUGGGCGAAAGCCUGAUCCAGCCAUGCCGCGUGAGUGAUGAAGGCCUUAGGGUUGUAAAGCUCUUUCAGUGGGGAAGAUAAUGACGGUACCCACAGAAGAACGCCCGGCUAACUUCGUGCCAGCAGCCGC